GACGAACGCUGGCGGCGUGCUUAACACAUGCAAGUCGAACGGAAAGGCCCUGCUUUUGUGGGGUGCUCGAGUGGCGAACGGGUGAGUAACACGUGAGUAACCUGCCCUUGACUUUGGGAUAACUUCAGGAAACUGGGGCUAAUACCGGAUAGGAGCUCCUGCUGCAUGGUGGGGGUUGGAAAGUUUCGGCGGUUGGGGAUGGACUCGCGGCUUAUCAGCUUGUUGGUGGGGUAGUGGCUUACCAAGGCUUUGACGGGUAGCCGGCCUGAGAGGGUGACCGGCCACAUUGGGACUGAGAUACGGCCCAGACUCCUACGGGAGGCAGCAGUGGGGAAUAUUGCACAAUGGGCGGAAGCCUGAUGCAGCAACGCCGCGUGCGGGAUGACGGCCUUCGGGUUGUAAACCGCUUUCGCCUGUGACGAAGCGUGAGUGACGGUAAUGGGUAAAGAAGCACCGGCUAACUACGUGCCAGCAGCCGCGGUGAUACGUAGGGUGCGAGCGUUGUCCGGAUUUAUUGGGCGUAAAGGGCUCGUAGGUGGUUGAUCGCGUCGGAAGUGUAAUCUUGGGGCUUAACCCUGAGCGUGCUUUCGAUACGGGUUGACUUGAGGAAGGUAGGGGAGAAUGGAAUUCCUGGUGGAGCGGUGGAAUGCGCAGAUAUCAGGAGGAACACCAGUGGCGAAGGCGGUUCUCUGGGCCUUUCCUGACGCUGAGGAGCGAAGGCGUGGGGAGCGAACAGGCUUAGAUACCCUGGUAGUCCACGCUGUAAACGGUGGGUACUAGGUGUGGGGUCCAUUCCACGGGUUCCGUGCCGUAGCUAACGCUUUAAGUACCCCGCCUGGGGAGUACGGCCGCAAGGCUAAAACUCAAAGGAAUUGACGGGGCCCCGCACAAGCGGCGGAGCAUGCGGAUUAAUUCGAUGCAACGCGUAGAACCUUACCUGGGUUUGACAUGGAUCGGGAGUGCUCAGAGAUGGGUGUGCCUCUUUUGGGGUCGGUUCACAGGUGGUGCAUGGCUGUCGUCAGCUCGUGUCGUGAGAUGUUGGGUUAAGUCCCGCAACGAGCGCAACCCUUGUUCACUGUUGCCAGCACGUUAUGGUGGGGACUCAGUGGAGACCGCCGGGGUCAACUCGGAGGAAGGUGGGGAUGACGUCAAGUCAUCAUGCCCCUUAUGUCCAGGGCUUCACGCAUGCUACAAUGGCUGGUACAGAGAGUGGCGAGCCUGUGAGGGUGAGCGAAUCUCGGAAAGCCGGUCUCAGUUCGGAUUGGGGUCUGCAACUCGACCUCAUGAAGUCGGAGUCGCUAGUAAUCGCAGAUCGGCAACGCUGCGGUGAAUAAGUUCCCGGGGCU
rnacentral:rRNA from 1 species